GACGAGGGGUCCUAGCGUUGUUCGGAUUCAUUGGGCGUAAAGGGUGCGUAGGCGGCGCGGUAAGUCGGGUGUGAAAUCUUGGAGCUUAACUCCGAAACUGCAUUCGAUACUGCCGUGCUUGAGGACCGGAGAGGAGACUGGAAUUUACGGUGUAGCGGUGAAAUGCGUAGAUAUCGUAAGGAAGACCAGUGGCGAAGGCGGGUCUCUGGACAGUUCCUGACGCUGAGGCACGAAGGCCAGGGGAGCAAACAGG
rnacentral:rRNA from 1 species